rnacentral:tRNA from 3 species
CGGGAUGUGGCGCAGCUUGGUAGCGCAUCUGCUUUGGGAGCAGAGGGUCGCAGGUUCAAAUCCUGUCAUCCCGACAA